AGGAUGGCUCAGACAUAGGUGCCUAAGGUAUUCCAGCUGAGACGUGAGGAGACAUUUGUCACUAAUGUGGAAGAACACCCUCCUUAUUCUCUUGAGACUCCUGUCUUCCUCUCAUUGGAUGUGAGUAGGAAAACAGAUGCAAGAGGCACAGACACAGGUAAGACGGAACCUGAUCCCCACGGCUUCGUUAACCAGGGCUUCCAAGAUAAUCAAGGCCUGCUGAAAGGCCACCUGAGAAGACGUUGGCAGCAAUCCCAGUGGUGGCAGAAGCCAGUGCCACGUUGGACACACUUCUAAUCCAUGGCCCAGCUACAAUGAGCAUUGCUGAGAACUAGCUAGACCGAGCAAAGGGUCAGAAUCUGUAUUGUCACCACCCUGAGAUGCUGGGGGCUCACUUUGAAAGAACCCAUGCCCGCUUUGCUGUACAUCAUGGCCCAACAGCAUGCAAAUACGGUGGCUUGCUAGACUGGCAUGUGGCAGUUGGCUGAAGUUUUGAGAUGUAUGCAGUGAGAAGGUAAGUUGGCAUUUGAGUACCAAAGUCCUCUCAACCUAGGAAAAUUCUGAAGCACUUUGCCCACAGCCUUCUAACAGGUUUCCAAUGACUUGGCUCCAGCUACCCAAAAUUAUAACCCACAUGGGCUUUCUGGUCCUUCUACCUCACCUUCCUGAGCCCUCAAGCAGUGCUUCCUGAAUAGUUUCCUAUAUAAACUGCUGGUGCUCUGACCCUUGCUUGCCUCAAGAUCUACUUCUAGAAGAAUCCAAGGGAUAAGGCUGUCUGACUUUAUAGACCAUGCUCUGUCCUAGGCCCUGUAUAGAGUUACUUGCCAUAGCCAAAUGAACCAGCCAGGCAGAUUAAUCAAGAGAAGUGUGUAUCUCAUAGUUCUGGAAGCUUGAAGUUCUAAGACCAAAGUGCCAAGACAGUUUCUUCUGGCUUGCAGAUGGCUGUCUUCCUAAUGCAUGCUCACACAGUAGAAAAAGAAAUUGUUCAUCCCUCCUGUUCUUACCAAGCGGUCCUGGGAGACUUGGGCAUUUAUUUUAAAAGAUAAAUAAGCUGAAACACCAAGAAGGUAAAGAAACAUCCUUCAGGUCAACCAACAUAGAUCCCUGUGGAUUAGAGCAAAGAGGAGACCCAGCCACCUAGCUUGUAGCUCUGGCUCUCCACUAAGCAGCUUGGAGCUGCCCUCAGCUGAUGUGGAUACAUUAGACAUGAGCUCCCUAAAGGACUGGCUCUAAUGCUCAAUCUAGAUGGAAGGGCAGAGCCUUGAACACAAGCCUUCUGACUCCAACUCCGUGGUCACUUCCAGCACGCCAAACCACAGCCCCUCUCGCUGUUGAGGGCUUUAAUGGCAACAGCAAACCCGCAAAUUGAAGCUCCUCACCCUUUUGUUCUUCAAACCUAAAUCACUUUGAUUACAACCAAUUCAUGACAAUUCGCACUGAUGAAAGAGCAUCGACAUAAAUAAUUCAGAGGCUCACUAAUAAUCCUCACAGCUGUAAGACACUCCUGCCAAAGGAAGCAUCCCAGGAGGUCACCCAGGCGCGGUAGGUGGCAGGCAAGGUGCCCAGUGCAUGCAGAUGAUUCCCAACACAGAAAACUGCCUGCUGCCAGCUCCGGGCUCAGACUAGAAAAGGAGGAUUCUAUUUCGGAUGCUCUUGUGCUAUGGGGGAAAGGUCACUUUUAGCCUAUGCAGCCAAGAGGCCAACAGGGCAACCAUGGGUUUCAAAAGUUGACCACACACACGAGGUAUUGUCCAGGUCGCCUCGCUUGUUAGACACCUGGCAUUGCUUUGUCUUCGGAGCUUUGUUGGCAGCUCUCAUUCCUUUACAGCGCCUUUCCGGGUCUUAGAUGCUGCUGAGAAAC